UACGGAGGGUGCAAGCGUUAUCCGGAUUCACUGGGUUUAAAGGGUGCGUAGGCGGGUAUUUAAGUCAGUGGUGAAAUCCUAGAGCUUAACUCUAGAACUGCCAUUGAUACUAUUUAUCUUGAAUAUUGUGGAGGUAAGCGGAAUAUGUCAUGUAGCGGUGAAAUGCUUAGAUAUGACAUAGAACACCUAUUGCGAAGGCAGCUUACUACGCAUAUAUUGACGCUGAGGCACGAAAGCGUGGGGGAUCAAACAGGAUUAGAUACCCUGGUAGUCCACGCCCUAAACGAUGGAUACUCGACAUACGCGAUACACUGUGUGUGUCUGAGCGAAAGCAUUAAGUAUCCCACCUGGGAAGUACGACCGCAAGGUUGAAACUCAAAG
rnacentral:rRNA from 1 species